UCCUUCAUCUUUCGUGGAACACAAACAGUCCAUUGAAAGAAAUAUAUAUGAUUCGUUUUACAAUUUUCCAACAUAUAAUAUAUAUACACACACACACACACACACACACACAUGAAUGUUGAAACUCGUCGAAUCAAGCGCUGAUAUUGACUACUGCAGGUUAUUCUACUACUAAUACUACUAUUGCUACUACUACUCUUCCAUCCACGAGCACUAUUCUUUUGCAUCCGGUUUGCUUGUUGUUUCAUUUUCGCGACCCCUAGUUUAUUCUACAGUGUCGGCAUAACAAUGAAAGCGAAAAAAUCGAGAAGGAAAUAAAGUGAGAGAAACGAGGUGGAAGGGAAAGAAUGAGAUAGUCAUUGUUUCCGGUAACUCUUUCGCGGUAACGAGGAGGAACCUCAAUUAGAACGGUUUGAGGACUUAAACGCCCAGAGGCUGCCGGGUUUUAAGAGGCAAGGAUGCAGUAACGUCGACGUGGAAGCAUUGUUUCUCCGAGCAAUAAUGCAAACGAUACCCUAAGCGCGUGAAAGACGUUGAUUCUCUCUUAACACUUGCUAUUGCAAAUUACGACAUAACGUGAAACACGAUUUGUACGAACUUUAUGCCUGGAUACAUCAAUUCUUACUGUAUUCAUUUACAAGCUCGAUAAAUAAUGAAAACAGGAUCUCCUCCAUCUGAUGCUUGAUACCCUGAUUGAAAAGAAAGUCUGUACUUUGAAGUUCGAUAUAAUAAAUCAUGUUAUUACUUA